rnacentral:sRNA from 1 species
AAGAAGAAUGGAAAUCU